rnacentral:rRNA from 1 species
CCCUUAGAUGUUCUGGGCUGCCCGCGCGCUACACUGAAGCGUUCAACGAGUAUUCACCUUGCCCGGGAGGGUUGGGUAAUCUUUUGAAAACGCUUCGUGAUGGGGAUAGAUUAUUGCAAUUAUUAAUCUUCAACGAGGAAUUCCUAGUAAGCGCGAGUCAUCAGCUCGUGCUGAUUACGUCCCUGCCCUUUGUACACACCGCCCGUCGCCCCUACCGAUUGAGUGAUCCGGUGAAUAAUUCGGACUGCAGCACUGCUUGGUCUCCAGGCUUUGCAGCGGAAAGUUUAGUGAACCUUAUCACUUAGAGGAAGGAGAAGUCGUAACA